rnacentral:tRNA from 1 species
GGCGGCAUAGCCAAGUGGUAAGGCGCGGGUCUGCAACACCCUUAUCUCCAGUUCAAAUCUGGAUGUCGCCUCCA